rnacentral:rRNA from 1 species
GAUGAACGCUGGCGGCGUGCUUAACACAUGCAAGUCGAGCGAUGAAGUUUUCUUCGGGAAACGGAUUAGCGGCGGACGGGUGAGUAACACGUGGGUAACCUGCCUCAUAGAGUGGAAUAGCCUUUCGAAAGGAAGAUUAAUACCGCAUAAUGUUGAAAGAUGGCAUCAUCAUUCAACCAAAGGAGCAAUCUGCUAAGAGAUGGACCCGCGGCGCAUUAGCUAGUUGGUGGGGUAACGGCCUACCAAGGCGACGAUGCGUAGCCGACCUGAGAGGGUGAUCGGCCACAUUGGGACUGAGACACGGCCCAGACUCCUACAGGAGGCAGCAGUGGGGAAUAUUGCACAAUGGGGGAAACCCUGAUGCAGCAACGCCGCGUGAGUGAUGAAGGUUUUCGGAUCGUAAAGCUCUGUCUUUGGGGAAGAUAAUGACGGUACCCAAGGAGGAAGCCACGGCUAACUACGUGCCAGCCGCCGCCGUAA